AUAUAUGAAUUAUAAAUUAAUAAAAAUUAUUUGAUAUUUUUCAUCACAAAUUGUACAUCUUCCUUAUUAGAACUCUUGUGUUGUGAUAAAGUCCUUAGAACUAUAAAAUAAUUGAUAAAGAAGAAUUUAUCGAAUAGUUCUUAAACCAUGUUCGCGAUCAAGUGAUACAUCAUUAAAGGAUGAUGAUAUUUAUCAAGUAUAGGUCAUUAUGUGUCAUAUAGGUUAG
rnacentral:lncRNA from 1 species